GGAGUAAAGUAGGGGAUCGAAAGACCUUAUGCUUUUGGAGCGGCCGAUGUCUGAUUAGCUAGUUGGUAAGGUAAUGGCUUACCAAGGCAACGAUCAGUAGUUGGUCUGAGAGGACGACCAGCCACACUGGGACUGAGACACGGCCCAGACUCCUACGGGAGGCAGCAGUGGGGAAUUUUGGACAAUGGGCGCAAGCCUGAUCCAGCAAUGCCGCGUGAGUGAAGAAGGCCUUCGGGUUGUAAAGCUCUUUCAGUUGAGAAGAAAAGAUUGUGACUAAUAAUUGCAAUUCAUGACGGUAUCAACAGAAGAAGCACCGGCUAACUACGUGCCAGCAGCCGCGGUAAUACGUAGGGUGCGAGCGUUAAUCGGAAUUACUGGGCGUAAAGGGUGCGCAGGCGGUUCUGUAAGUCAGAUGUGAAAUCCCCGGGCUUAACCUGGGAACUGCGUUUGAAACUACAAGGCUAGA
rnacentral:rRNA from 1 species